rnacentral:rRNA from 1 species
ACCAGAUAAGACAGCUGAAUGAUAGUCGGGCUGAAGACUCUACUUGACUAGCUGAGAGGAGGUGCAUGGCCGCCGUCAGUUCGUACUGUGAAGCAUCCUGUUAAGUCAGGCAACGAGCGAGACCCACGCCAACAGUUGCCAGCUCGUCCUCCGGGAUGGUGGGGACACUGUUGGGACCGCCUCUGCUAAAGAGGAGGAAGGAAUGGGCAACGGUAGGUCAGCAUGCCCCGAAUUAUCUGGGCUACACGCGGGCUACAAUGGGUGGGACAAUGGGUAUCGACACCGAAAGGUGAAGGCAAUCUCCUAAACCCAUCCGUAGUUCGGAUUGUGGGCUGCAACUCCGCCCACAUGAAGCUGGAAUCUGUAGUAAUCGUGUCUCAAAAUGGCACGGUGAAUAUGUCCCUGCUCCUU